UUUAAAUGAAACCAGGAGUUUCCGUGUCCAACUUUAAAUGCUUAUCUUAUUUACAUUUUUUUUAUAAUUAGUAUUUUUAUUGUUAUGAGAUGAUAAAAUAUAAAUAAUACUUUAUGCAUGACAUAUGUUUUUAAUUUUUUUUAAAAUUUUUUUAAAUAAGACGGACGAUCAAAGUUGGGCACGAAAAAUCAUGGCUGCACUUAAA
rfam:Oryza sativa (indica cultivar-group) chromosome 9, whole genome shotgun sequence.